rnacentral:rRNA from 1 species
UAUAUUAAGUUGUUGCAGUUAAAAAGCUCGUAGUUGAAUUUCGAGACCGGUUUACUGGUCGUGCUUUUGUACGUACUGGUAUAAUCGGUUUCUCUCUUCUGACGAACUAUAAUGCCAUUAAUUUGGUGUUUUAGGGAAUCAGGACUGUUACUUUGAAAAAAUUAGA